rnacentral:lncRNA from 1 species
CAGGCCUCGUAUCUACUAAACUCUCCUUAUUACAAAUCCUCAAUUAGGAAAUAUCUAAAUAAUAUACCUCAGAAGAGAGACUAUGGUCCCAGCUGGAAAAUUUAAAAUGCAAGAAGAAAUGCUGGAGUGCAGUAGUGCAGUCACAGCUGAGUGCAGCCUCCACCUCCCAGGGCUCAAGCAAUCCUGCCACCUCAGUCUACCAAGUAGCUGGAACUACAGACCUGAACCACCACACCCAGCUAAUUUUUUAUUUUUUGU